CAAAGGGCCUCCAAAGGCCUGUGCACAGAGUGCUACUCAGCAAGCAGUCAGAGGUGGGGUUGGCAGAUCUCGUGGCGCCCCGCUGUGGUUGCUCACAGCAAAGGAUGCCGAGGAAGAGGGACCAAGGGAGCAGGCCAAACCCAACAGAAGCUCACUGCCAAGCCUUCAGAGCUCGCAAGGAUGCUUUGCAAGAAUCUGGGGUGCAGUCUGUGAAGUGUCACUGAGUCGAGACCACUUCCUGUCCCUUCUCUAUCCAGAUGGCACAGGACGGGUGAUGUCAGUCUCUUUGAAGAUGUCCAAGACCCUGCGUGAAGCUGAAAGGAGGCUGUGUCUGGCAGAAGACACCACACUGAAAUAGAAGAAAUAGACCCUGCCUCUCCCCCACUUCUCCUCAGGUGGGGAGAAAGUUACAGGACAGGCAGCAUCAGCAGAAUGAGCCAUCAACGGAUGCUGAUAGAGCAUUGAUCAAGGCAAUGUAGCCGAGGACAACCCAAGGCUGUGAAGCCAAGCCCACAGAACUCAGGAGCCAUUGCAUCAAAGUGGAUCUCAUGGAGGCAUUCCCACAACUGAAGCUCCUUUCUCUGUGACAACUCCAGCUUGUGUCAAGUUGACACACAAAACCAGCCAAUACAGUAGGUGACCCCAGAGCAGCUGCAUUGCUGGUAAGUCUCACCCUAGCUUGGACACUGACUUCCCUAUGACUGUAUAGAUGGAGUCUCUCCCCUCUUCAGCCAACUUUCCACUCUCUAUAUGUUCUAGCAUCUCCUGAGGUUACAUGUGAUUUGGGCAGGAUUAUAAGCAGGUGGCAGGGUAGGGAGGUGACUGAGAUCUCAGAUGACAGUCCCGGGAUUCCCCCACCCCCUCCUUUUGCAAAGGGCCAUGAAUAGUCACAGCUGCUUCUGAUGAAGAUGGUGAUGGCUGGUAUGCUUAGGAGACCGUUUGCAACAAGUGCCCUGAAGACACCCGGGGCUCACUCAAGAGGAGUCAAUGGACGUAGCUGCUUGUCUUGGGGUUCAGCAGCACAAUCUUUAGGGUACGUAGAGGAAGGAAUGGGAGGAGCC
rnacentral:lncRNA from 1 species